AUUGAACGCUGGCGGCAUGCCUUACACAUGCAAGUCGAACGGUAACAGGUCUUCGGAUGCUGACGAGUGGCGAACGGGUGAGUAAUACAUCGGAACGUGCCUAGUAGUGGGGGAUAAGUACUUGAAAGAGCGGCUAAUACCGCAUGAGAGCUACGGAUGAAAGCAGGGGAUCGCAAGACCUUGUGCUACUAGAGCGGCCGAUGGCCGAUUAGGUAGUUGGUGGGAUAAAAGCUUACCAAGCCGACGAUCUGUAGCUGGGCUGAGAGGACGAUAAGCCACACUGGGACUGAGACACGGCCCAGACUCCUACGGGAGGCAGCAGUGGGGAAUUUUGGACAAUGGGCGAAAGCCUGAUCCAGCAAUGCCGCGUGCAGGAUGAAGGCCUUCGGGUUGUAAACUGCUUUUGUACGGAACGAAAAGCCCCGGGUUAAUACCCUGGGGUCAUGACGGUACCGUAAGAAUAAGCACCGGCUAACUACGUGCCAGCAGCCGCAGUAA
rnacentral:rRNA from 1 species